rnacentral:miRNA from 1 species
AGGGUGGCCAUUAUUUUGGUUUUCCUGGGACUGAGAAGUAUUCCAGGAUGCAGGACUUUUCAGUUAUAUGACAGGGAAAGUC